rnacentral:rRNA from 1 species
CCCCUAGAUGUUCUGGGCCGCACGCGCGCUACACUGAACAGUUCAACAAGUCUUAACCUUGGCCGAUAGGUCUGGGUAAUCUUUGAACGCUGUUCGUGAUUGGGAUAGACCUUUGCAAUUAUGGGUCUUCAACGAGGAAUUUCUAGUAAACGCAAGUCAUCAGCUUGCAUUGAUUACGUCCCUGCCCUUUGUACACACCGCCCGUCGCACCUACCGAUUGAAUGGUCCGGUGAAAUCUCGGGACGGCGGCUUGGUCGCUUGCGUCCGACUGCUGAAACUUGAUUAAACCAUAUCAUUUAGAGGAAGGUGAAGUCGUAACA